rnacentral:rRNA from 1 species
GAUCGCAUCAUAUUAUAAUCAUUUCGGUGAUUGGCGAUAGAUCAUUCAAGUUUCUGACCUAUCAGCUUUCGACGGUAGUGUAUUGGACUACCGUGGCAGUGACGGGUAACGGGGAAUUAGGGUUCGAUUCCGGAGAGGGAGCCUGAGAAACGGCUACCACAUCUAAGGAAGGCAGCAGGCGCGCAAAUUACCCAAUCCUGACUCAGGGAGGUAGUGACAAGAAAUAACAACACUGGAAAUUGUAUUUCUAGUGAUUGGAAUGAUGGGAAUCCAAACCCCUUUCAGAGUAACAAUUGGAGGGCAAGUCUGGUGCCAGCAGCCGCGGUAAUUCCAGCUCCAAUAGCGUAUAUUAAAGUUGUUGCAGUUAAAAAGCUCGUAGUUGGAUAUCUGCUGGAAGCAAUCAGUCCGCCCUUUUCGUAAGGGUGUGCACUUGAUGAAUUCUGGCAUGAUUUCAUCCUAAUAAUAAUAUAUUAUUAUAUUAGGUUGAUUCCUAGUAUAAUAAUAUUUAUUAUUAUGGGGAUGACAGUUACUUUGAGAAAAUUAGAGUGUUUGAAGCAGGCUUUUGUUGCCUUGAAUACUGCAGCAUGGAAUAACAAUAUAGGAUUUCGGUUCUAUUAUUUUGUUGGUUUUUUCUGUAGGACUGAAAUAAUGAUUAAUAGGGACAGUUGGGGGCAUUCGUAUUUAACUGUCAGAGGUGAAAUUCUUAGAUUUGUUAAAGACGAACUACUGCGAAAGCAUUUGCCAAAGAUGUUUUCAUUAAUCAAGAACGAAAGUUAGGGGCUCGAAGACGAUCAGAUACCGUCGUAGUCUUAACCAUAAACUAUGCCGACUAGAGAUAGGAAAAUGUCACAUUGUUGACUUCUCCUGCA